UUCUUUCCAUCUUAGUGGCGGACGGGUGAGUAACGUGUGGGCAACCUGCCCUGUACUGGGGAAUAAUCAUUGGAAACGAUGACUAAUACCGCAUGUGGUCCUCGGAAGGCAUCUUCUGAGGAAGAAAGGAUUUAUUCGGUACAGGAUGGGCCCGCAUCUGAUUAGCUAGUUGGUGAGAUAACAGCCCACCAAGGCGACGAUCAGUAGCCGACCUGAGAGGGUGAUCGGCCACAUUGGGACUGAGACACGGCCCAAACUCCUACGGGAGGCAGCAGUGGGGAAUAUUGCACAAUGGUCGAAAGCCUGAUGCAGCAACGCCGCGUGAAGGAUUGAAGGGUUUCGGCUCGUAAACUUCUAUCAAUAGGGAAGAAACAAAUGACGGUACCUAAAUAAGAAGCCCCGGCUAACUACGUGCCAGCAGCCGCGGUAAUACGUAGGGGGCAAGCGUUAUCCGGAAUUACUGGGUGUAAAGGGAGCGUAGUCGGCAUGGUAAGCCAGAUGUGAAAGCCUUGGGCUUAACCCGAGGAUUGCAUUUGGAACUAUCAAGCUAGAGUACAGGAGAGGUAAGCGGAAUUCCUAGUGUAGCGGUGAAAUGCGUAGAUAUUAGGAAGAACACCAGUGGCGAAGGCGGCUUUCUGGACUG
rnacentral:rRNA from 1 species